rnacentral:rRNA from 1 species
GACGAACGCUGGCGGCGUGCUUAACACAUGCAAGUCGAACGAUGAAGCGGUGCUUGCACCGUGGAUUAGUGGCGAACGGGUGAGUAAUACGUGAGUGACCUACCUUUGACUCUGGGAUAAGCCUGGGAAACUGGGUCUAAUACCGGAUACGACCAAUCUCUGCAUGGGGUGUUGGUGGAAAGCGUUAUGGAGUGGUUUUAGAUGGGCUCACGGCCUAUCAGCUUGUUGGUGAGGUAAUGGCUUACCAAGGCGACGACGGGUAGCCGGCCUGAGAGGGUGACCGGCCACACUGGGACUGAGACACGACCCAGACUCCUACGGGAGGCAGCAGUGGGGAAUAUUGCACAAUGGGCGCAAGCCUGAUGCAGCGACGCCGCGUGAGGGAUGACGGCCUUCGGGUUGUAAACCUCUGUUAGCAUCGAAGAAGCGAAAGUGACGGUAGGUGCAGAGAAAGCGCCGGCUAACUACGUG